ACAGGGAUUGCCCUAGUAACGGCGAGUGAAGCGGCAACAGCUCAAAUUUGAAAUCUGGCGUCUUUGGCGUCCGAGUUGUAAUUUGCAGAGGGCGCUUUGGCAUUGGCAGCGGUCCAAGUUCCUUGGAACAGGACGUCACAGAGGGUGAGAAUCCCGUACGUGGUCGCUAGCCUUUACCGUGUAAAGCCCCUUCGACGAGUCGAGUUGUUUGGGAAUGCAGCUCUAAAUGGGAGGUAAAUUUCUUCUAAAGCUAAAUACUGGCCAGAGACCGAUAGCGCACAAGUAGAGUGAUCGAAAGAUGAAAAGCACUUUGGAAAGAGAGUUAAAAAGCACGUGAAAUUGUUGAAAGGGAAGCGCUUGCAGCCAGACUUGCCUGUAGUUGCUCAUCCGGGUUUCUACCCGGUGCACUCUUCUAUAGGCAGGCCAGCAUCAGUUUGGGCGGUUGGAUAAAGAUCUCUGUCAUGUACCUCUCUUCGGGGAGAACUUAUAGGGGAGAUGACAUGCAACCAGCCCGGACUGAGGUCCGCGCAUCUGCUAGGAUGCUGGCGUAAUGGCUGUAAGCGGCCCGUCUUGAAACACGGACCAAGGAGUCUAACAUCUAUGCGAGUGUUUGGGUGUCAAGCCCGAGCGCGUAAUGAAAGUGAACGGAGGUGGGAGCCUUUCGGGGUGCACCAUCGACCGAUCCUGAUGUCUUCGGAUGGAUUUGAGUAAGAGCAUAGCUGUUGGGACCCGAAAGAUGGUGAACUAUGCUUGAAUAGGGUGAAGCCAGAGGAAACUCUGGUGGAGGCUCGCAGCGGUUCUGACGUGCAAAUCGAUCGUCAAAUUUGGGCAUAGGGGCGAAAGACUAAUCGAACUAUCUAGUAGCUGGUUCCUGCCGAAGUUUCCCUCAGGAUAGCAGUAACGUUUUCAGUUUUAUGAGGUAAAGCGAAUGAUUAGAGGCCUGGGGGUUGAAACAACCUU
rnacentral:rRNA from 1 species